rnacentral:rRNA from 1 species
GGCCUUUUGAUUUUAAUUUAAGGUCAGGCCUGCCCACUGAAGUUUUGAAUGGCCGCGGUAUUUUGACCGUGCAAAGGUAGCAUAAUCAUUAGUUUUUUAAUUAAAAGCUAGAAUGAAUGGUUUGAUAAAAAAAUAACUGUCUCAAAUUAAUUUAAUUAAAAUUUUAUUUUUAAGUUAAAAAGCUUAAAUUUUUUUAAAAGACGAGAAGACCCUAUAGAGUUUUAUAUUAGUUAUAUUAAAAAUUUAAGGAUUUUUAUAAUUUUUUUAUAUUUAAUAUUUAAUUGGGGUGAUUAUAAAAUUUAAUUAACUUUUAUUUUAUUAUUACAUAAAUUUAUGAUUAUUUGAUCCAUAAUUAAUGAUUAUAAGAUUAAAUUACCUUAGGGAUAACAGCAUAAUUUUUUUAGAGAGUUCUUAUCGAAAAAAGAGAUUGUGACCUCGAUGUUGGAUUAAAGUUAAUAUUUAAUGUAGAAGUUAAAAUAUUAGGUCUGUUCGACCUUUAAAACUUUACA